GUGUCAGCCGCCGCGGUAAUACGUAGGAUGCAAGCGUUGUUCGGAAUUAUUGGGUGUAAAGGGCGCGUAGGUGGCCCUGUAAGUCAUGGGUGAAAUCCCUCGGCUUAACCGAGGAAUUGCCUAUGAUACUGCAGGGCUUGAGUACGGGAGAGGGAAGUGGAAUUCCUGGUGUAGCGGUGAAAUGCGUAGAUAUCAGGAGGAACACCGGUGGCGAAGGCGGCUUCCUGGACCGAUACUGACACUGAGGCGCGAAAGCGUGGGUAGCAAACAGGAUUAGAUACCCUGGUAGUCCACGCCCUAAACGAUGGGUACUAGGUGUGAGGACUCUUUAAUGUCUUCGUGCCGUAGCUAACGCAUUAAGUACCCCACCUGGGAAGUACGGCCGCAAGGUUGAAACUCAAAUGAAUUGACGG
rnacentral:rRNA from 1 species